rnacentral:misc_RNA from 1 species
GACGGAGGGCGCGAGCGUUGCUCGGAAUCACUGGGCGUAAAGCGCGUGUAGGCGGGUGAUCAAGUCAGGUGUGAAAUCCCUGGGCUCAACCCAGGAACUGCAUCUGAAACUGGUCGCCUUGAGUGCUGGAGAGGGAAGCGGAAUUCCUGGUGUAGAGGUGAAAUUCGUAGAUAUCAGGAGGAACACCGGUGGCGAAGGCGGCUUCCUGGACAGUUACUGACGCUGAGACGCGAAAGCGUGGGGAGCAAACAGG